GAUUUCUGGUGUAACGUCGUCUGGCCCGCUGGGGUUACUCAGUGAGUGCCGGUGCGCGUUUGCCAUCCUUCUAGAGAACGUUGUUGCUAUUUAUUUAGUAGCAGCGCAAUCUAGAUCUUUUACUUUGAAAAAAUUAGAGUGUUUAAAGCAGGCUUAUGCUAUGAAUACAUUAGCAUGGAAUAAUAAUCUAGGACUUUGGUUCUAUUUUGUUGGUUUCUAGGGCUGAAGUAAUGAUUGAUAGGGACAGUUGGGGGUGCUAGUAUUCAGCGGCCAGAGGUGAAAUUCUCGGAUUCGCUGAAGACUAACUUAUGCGAAAGCAUU
rnacentral:rRNA from 1 species